rnacentral:lncRNA from 1 species
AGCCAAGCGCGCACACGGCGAUCUCGGGCCGCCCUCCGCCGGCUCCCCGCCGCUGACUGGGUGCUCACUUUAAUGCUGCGGGGAGCCCGGGAGCCCGGGGGCGCCUCGCUCCCCGUUCCCUCCCCAUCCCGUCAGGACUCUUGGCCUGGGGUCCUCCGCCCGGACCGCCCGGCUUUGUGUGGUGGCCCCGUCACCGCCACAGCCUGAGGCACGUCACAAAUCCGAGGAGCGGCCGACAGGACAGUCCUGGUCCCGGGCUCUUGGCGGAUCCGGGUCGGAUGCAACGCGCCCGCCCGCAGGGCUGCGGAUAGACCGGCCGGGGCAAGUCCCUAAGCUCUUCGGAUGUCCCCAACUCGGAGAGGGUUUAUGUUUGUUUUAACUGCCGGACUCCUCUUUCCAUCGGAAUGCCUACUCUGGGUUCUAAAAGAGGAUCUCAGCUGAUUUUCCACUUGCUGCUACUUUAUUUUGGUGUCUAAAGGCUGAUCAGAACUCCAGGGAGCGCCCGACUCCGCUCUGCUCCGCUCUAAGGCCAGCGGUGCCCAGAAGUUCAAAGGACUCUGGGCGGGGCUUGGAGGGCGGAGCCAGGACUACCCUGGCUAGAAGACCAAGCAUCCUGAGUGCUGAUACAAACGGCGUGCACCUCCACAAUGAGCAGAAGUGUGCAUCUUUCAAGUGAGCAACAAAAGACAUGAGGAGUGGAAGCCGCCCUGAAGGCUGCUUUGACUGCAUUGUUAGUGGCUGUCCCUAGACAAGUGAAAGCCCCUGGACUGUGGGAAAGACUGUAACAGGAUAUUGAUAUUUAUUAAGAUUGAACCCAAAGCUCCAUGGUUGUUUAGGCCGGAGCUGCGACUUUACAGUGGAGACUUUGCAUUCACAGAGUUCUGCAUUCCGUUUCCAGCGCUGAGAACAUCCUGCUUUGUGCUGUGAAGAAACAUCACAAUUAAAGCAAAGUGCAUGAAAGACAAUCGUUAUACACAGACUUAUUAAGCUCCCACCAGGGUAAAGAAACAGGUUUUUACCAGCAUCCCAGGAGCCUCCAGUAUAUCCCUUCCCAAACAACCUCUGCCUCUUAGAAAUAACCAUUGCAUUUAUGGUAAUUAUGACAUUGGUUUCUAAUAGCUCUAUAAAAUUGAAAAAAAAAUUAUCCCAUUUUUCAAAAAUUAUGAUUGAAAUUCAAUUUUAUAAAUAUGUUGAAUUUUUAGAGGGUCACAUGACUUCUGGUUUAAGUUUAUUAAUGUGAUGAAGUAUCUUUGCAUUACUAGUGUAAGAUAAACCUAGUUGUAU